UACGAUUUCGUAUGCGUCCCCAUAGUAAA
rnacentral:sRNA from 1 species